GGGCUGACUGCUUCAGGGAAGGAUCUCUGGUUGGAGAUCUGUCCUUUGUGAAGAUUUUCCUGUGAGCCUAGAUCUUUGGAGACUGAUUUUUCUCCUAUGGUUGGUGAACUGCACAAGCUAGAAAUCACUUCCUGUACCCACUGGAUGCAACACUCCCUGUGUUGAGAAGUCAGACAGAUGCUGUCUGGAUAAUGAGGAGGUGGUUAGGAUUUCAUCAUUUCAUUUCAUGAUUUUCAGCAUUUUAUUAAGAUCUCCAUAUUGCUAGAUUGCAUUCAACUUUUCCACGAGUGCUGCAGAAUAAGAAAGAAGGGGAAAAAAGGAGUCUGUCUUCAGCUUUUCAAACCACACUGAGAAGAAGCAGGUA